rnacentral:rRNA from 1 species
AACGAACGCUGGCGGCAGGCUUAACACAUGCAAGUCGAGCGCCCCGCAAGGGGAGCGGCAGACGGGUGAGUAACGCGUGGGAAUCUACCGAGCCCUGCGGAAUAGCUCCGGGAAACUGGAAUUAAUACCGCAUACGCCCUACGGGGGAAAGAUUUAUCGGGGUUUGAUGAGCCCGCGUUGGAUUAGCUAGUUGGUGGGGUAAUGGCCUACCAAGGCGACGAUCCAUAGCUGGUCUGAGAGGAUGAUCAGCCACAUUGGGACUGAGACACGGCCCAAACUCCUACGGGAGGCAGCAGUGGGGAAUAUUGGACAAUGGGGGCAACCCUGAUCCAGCCAUGCCGCGUGAGUGAUGAAGGCCUUAGGGUUGUAAAGCUCUUUCACCGGUGAAGAUAAUGUCGGUAACCGGAGAAGAAGCCCCGGCUAACUUCGUGCCAGCCGCCGCUGUAAGAC